AGCUAUGGCCACACACGCUAACCCACUGCAUCCCGUCCGAUCUGCACAGUUAAACAGUUUAGCAUAAUCAGUACUAUGGGGAACCACAAGGGAAUACUAUGUGCUGUAGUUU
rnacentral:rRNA from 1 species